UCCAAGUAAUCAAGCAAGUAAGCAACCAAGUGAGAGUGAGAAGCAACUUGUUCAGCUCUUCGGAUUAUGCAUUCAUGGUGAAGAGAGGAUGCUGGUAUAUGAGUACAUGCCAAACAUAAGUUUGGACAACUUUUUAUUUGAUUCUACCAGAGCUCUACUAGAUUGGAAGAGGCGUUUCAGUAUAAUUGAAGGAAUAGCUCAAGGAUUGCUUUACUUGCACAAAUACUCGAGAAUGAGAGUAAUUCAUAGAGAUUUGAAACCUAGUAACAUAUUACUUGAUGAAAAUAUGAACCCCAAAAUAUCAGAUUUUGGUAUGGCAAGGAUUUUCACCUAUAAUGAAUUGGAAGCAAAUACUGUUAGGAUUGUUGGGACACGUGAUUACAUGUCUCCCGAAUAUGCCAUGGAGGGGGAUAUUUUCAAUAAAAUCUGAUGUCUUCAGUUUUGGGGUGUUAAUUCUCGAAAUCAUAAGUGGCAGGAAAAACAACAGCUUCUACAAUGAUGAGCGUGUGCUAAAUUUAGUAGGAUAUACAUGGGAGCUAUGGAAAGAAGGCGCAGGGAUAGAACUAAUGGAUCCAACACUAACGGAUUCAUGUGUUCGGGGAUCAAUUUCUUAGAUGCGUCCAUGUCGGUCUACUAUGCGUGGAGGAAAAUGCAGGUGAUUGGCCGACCAUCUCCAAUGUGAUAUCUAUGUUGACAAAUGAAAGUGUGGCAUUACCUAUGCCAACAAAGCCAGCAUUUUUCACAGAAAGAAAUCAUGUGGCCGGUGGAAAGGAGCCAGAAGAUAUGUCGAUAAAUUGUAUGUCCAAUUCCGAAAUUGUUGCGCGUUGAAGGUUGUGGCUUGGUUUUAUAUACUUGCAAGAGCAGUGUCAGUUCAUUUUUAUCACCACUCUUGAUUUUAAAUUCUGUGCGUGUAUUUGUUUACACUGCAAUCACCUCGUAGAGGGCAAUGCAUGGUUCCUGAAGCAUGCAAUGGGACGGUUGGUUAAUUGCCUUUCGAGGUAGUUUGUACUGUAAAAUCCCAGUUUUAUCUUACAAGCUCGAUCGUACUAAAAGAUUGGUCUCUGGCGUAAUGAAUGGUAAGGAUGCAGCACCUGAUGUGCGAAUUUCUUUUUAUGAGAAUAAGUUCUUUUUAGUGAAACAAUUCCAAGCAUGACCAAGCACCUAUUGAUUGAAGUGCUAUUAUGGUUUAAGCACAUGGUGCUUUUGCUAAAGUGUCCUUAAGUUUUAGAUUGAAUCAAUUCGAUUAUCUCCAAUUCCUUGAGGGGAGGGAUUCCAUUCUCCAAUUUCUUGAGUGGAGGGAUUCCAUUCUCCAAUUCCUUGAGUGGAGGGAUUCCAUUCUCCAAUUCCUUGUGGAGAGAUUCCAUUCCUCUGAACUUGUUUAGUGCUGCAAGUUGCCUUGUUCAAUUAUGCAGAAAAUCAGACAAGAUAUUUACACAGCCGAUGACGGCAGCCUCACACCCUUCAAAGGUUUACCCAUACCGAGUGGCAAUGCCGAGUCGUGGUUGUUAACAAUGUACCUCAACGGAGAGCUCCAGAUUAUAAGGAGAGACAACGGCAGCAUAUUCGUGCUACUCACGAAAGGCCGCAGCCCCUCCUGAAUCCCUGAACCAAGCUCAACAGAGCAACUUGUAUCUUGUGUUUUAUAUAUAUGUAUGUACCUAUUCAAGGACAUGAGAGGUAAUUUUCUACAUAGAAAAUAAUAAGGAGACACACUUUUGUUA